rnacentral:rRNA from 1 species
GACGAACGCUGGCGGCGUGCUUAACACAUGCAAGUCGAACGGAAAGGCCCCAGCUUGCUGGGGUACUCGAGUGGCGAACGGGUGAGUAACACGUGGGUGAUCUGCCCUGCACUCCGGGAUAAGCCUGGGAAACUGGGUCUAAUACCGGAUAGGACCGUGCUUUAGUGUGUGCGGUGGAAAGUUUUUCGGUGCAGGAUGAGCCCGCGGCCUAUCAGCUUGUUGGUGGGGUAAUGGCCUACCAAGGCGGCGACGGGUAGCCGGCCUGAGAGGGUGUACGGCCACAUUGGGACUGAGACACGGCCCAGACUCCUACGGGAGGCAGCAGUGGGGAAUAUUGCACAAUGGGCGCAAGCCUGAUGCAGCGACGCCGCGUGGGGGAUGACGGCCUUCGGGUUGUAAACCCCUUUCGGCAGGGACGAAGCUUUUGUGACGGUACCUGCAUAAGAAGCACCGGCUAACUACGUG